CCUACGGGAGGCAGCAGUGGGGAAUAUUGCACAAUGGGCGAAAGCCUGAUGCAGCGACGCCGCGUGAGGGAUGACGGCCUUCGGGUUGUAAACCUCUUUCAGUAGGGAACAAGGCCGGCCUUUGUGGUUGGUUGAGGGUACUUGCAGAAGAAGCGCCGGCUAACUACGUGCCAGCAGCCGCGGUAAUACGUAGGGCGCAAGCGUUAUCCGGAAUUAUUGGGCGUAAAGAGCUCGUAGGCGGUUUGUCGCGUCUGCCGUGAAAGUCCGGGGCUCAACUCCGGAUCUGCGGUGGGUACGGGCAGACUAGAGUGCUGUAGGGGAGACUGGAAUUCCUGGUGUAGCGGUGAAAUGCGCAGAUAUCAGGAGGAACACCGAUGGCGAAGGCAGGUCUCUGGGCAGUAACUGACGCUGAGGAGCGAAAGCAUGGGGAGCGAACAGGAUUAGAUACCCUGGUAGUCCAUGCCGUAAACGUUGGGCACUAGGUGUGGGGGACAUUCCACGUUUUCCGCGCCGUAGCUAACGCAUUAAGUGCCCCGCCUGGGGAGACGGCGCGAGACGAACACAANAGAGUAGAGCGUGAGACGUGCGACGGACGACGACGAGGGAGGAGG
rnacentral:rRNA from 1 species